UACGUAGGGUGCAAGCGUUGUCCGGAAUUAUUGGGCGUAAAGAGCUCGUAGGCGGUCUGUCGCGUCGGAUGUGAAAAUCCAGGGCUCAACCCUGGACCUGCAUUCGAUACGGGCAGACUAGAGUUCGGUAGGGGAGACUGGAAUUCCUGGUGUAGCGGUGAAAUGCGCAGAUAUCAGGAGGAACACCGGUGGCGAAGGCGGGUCUCUGGGCCGAUACUGACGCUGAGGAGCGAAAGCGUGGGUAGCAAACAGG
rnacentral:rRNA from 1 species